UACGGGGGGGGCAAGCGUUGUUCGGAAUUACUGGGCGUAAAGGGCUCGUAGGUGGCCAACUAAGUCAGACGUGAAAUCCCUCGGCUUAACCGGGGAUCGGCGUCUGAUACUGGAUGGCUUGAGUUUGGGAGAGGGAUGCGGAAUUCCAGGUGUAGCGGUGAAAUGCGUAGAUAUCUGGAGGAACACCGGUGGCGAAGGCGGCGUCCUGGACCAACACUGACACUGAGGAGCGAAAGCUAGGGGAGCAAACGGG
rnacentral:rRNA from 1 species